UAUUUGGUGGAUCAUUAUUUGAAUAAGAGCUAAGAUCCUUGGAAGUGGCAGCCUGUCCUUGCUCUAGUUGCUUGUGUAGUUUUCAAAUGUGUCUUAAAUCAUGUAUAGAAAGUUUAUGGUAAUGUAGAUUUGAUGUGUAGCUGAGUAAUUCAUCAACUAAUUCAUUUAAGAUGGACUUC